UUGUGACAGCCUUAGAUUUACAGUUGUUCUUUUACUUCCUACCAGUGAUGUAAAGGUAUACGACCCAUCUGGGGACUCCACACUCCCCACUGUGUCAAAGAAGAGGAAGAUUGAAGAGGGCGAGGAGGAAGAGAAGCCAGUGGAGGCUAAAGCAAAGAAAGUAAAGAGGGAAUCCCCCACAGAAGGAGAAGCAGAAACAGAGACCACAAAGAAGAAGAAGAAAAAGGAGAAGAAGAAAGCGGAGGAGGAAUCCAAGCCAGAAGAGGAGACCGCAGUCAGCCCAGCAGAGGAGGUGAGA